rnacentral:rRNA from 1 species
AGAGCGAACGCUGGCGGCAGGCUUAACACAUGCAAGUCGAGCGGGCGUAGCAAUACGUCAGCGGCAGACGGGUGAGUAACGCGUGGGAACGUACCUUUUGGUUCGGAACAACCCAGGGAAACUUGGGCUAAUACCGGAUAAGCCCUUACGGGGAAAGAUUUAUCGCCGAAAGAUCGGCCCGCGUCUGAUUAGCUAGUUGGUGGGGUAAUGGCCCACCAAGGCGACGAUCAGUAGCUGGUCUGAGAGGAUGAUCAGCCACAUUGGGACUGAGACACGGCCCAAACUCCUACGGGAGGCAGCAGUGGGGAAUAUUGGACAAUGGGCGCAAGCCUGAUCCAGCCAUGCCGCGUGAGUGAUGAAGGCCCUAGGGUUGUAAAGCUCUUUGUGCGGGAAGAUAAUGACGGUACCGCAAGAAUAAGCCCCGGCUAACUUCGCGCCAGCAGCCGC